GCUGUUCUAGACUGCCUGAAGUGCCAUAUGCUCCACUGUGGUGAAUUUCAGCCUACUCUAGACUCUCUCUUAACUUUUUACAACUCAUAUGACAUAGUUUCAGCACAUGACUUCAAACGAAAGGUGACCAUGAAGGCUUUUCGAUAAGGACCUUCUAAGUUGGAGAGCAAAUAAAAGGUAUGCGCAGAGUCUGAUGGAGCUUGUUGACUUUUUGGAGAAAGACCCUGAUGAUAAAAACAUCCUAACUAAAUUCACAGAAACGCUGAUCAAUGUCAGGAACAGACACAACAAUGUGGUGCCCACCAUGGCACAGGGAGUGCUGGAGUACAAGGAGGCUUUUGGCGUGGAUCCCGUGACCAAUCAGAACGUCCAGUAU